rnacentral:rRNA from 1 species
GUGUAUGUCUAAAGGGAAACAGCCCAGAACAAGAGUUAAUAAGGUUCCAAAAUUAUUGUUAAGUGAAAAUAAGGUAGUGUUUAUCCAAGCCAACCAGGAAAUGGGCUUAGGAGCGGCCAUUUUUUAAAGACCUCGUAACAGAGCACUGGUUUUAUACAUUUUUGUAUGUAUUGUUAGAUGCACCUAAAAUUUAACGGAUCUAAAUAAUAUACCGAGACCUUGUCCAUAAAUAUUUUUAUGUACAAGUUACAUAGAAUAUAUAUGGGGUAGCGGAACAUUGGGCAUAUCUCAGAUUUUUUCUUUUUAAGACUUAAGAUUAGAUUACCCAAGUGAUAAUGCUGACAUGAGUAACGAUAAAGGGUUUAUACCCUCGCCUAAAGCUUAUGGAAUUUACUUAAAGUAACGGCCUCUAAGUUUAAGUCUGCUAACUUGUAAUAACUAGUAUCUUGUUGUUGAUACAAGUAAGUAAACAUCCUAAAGGUAUAAACGAUGAGAAAAUAAAAACUUAGUUUUACACAGAAAAUAUAAGCCAAUAAGGUAAACAAUUUUAGAUAGGUUUUAUCUCUAUAAGGUACUAGAUAACUUAGUUUUAUACUAAUAUCUAAUUAUAUAAUAUAGAUAUCAUAAAAAUAGCAUUUUGUAACAAACGGUGUUGAUGUAAUAUUGCUUAUCAUCAUCUUUUAGAUGAAGUGAAGUAAUUGUUAUAUAAAAAGCAAUCAAUAAGUUGUCAAAACAAAGUGAGAAAUGCUCUGGAAAAAUGCAAAACUUUGUCGUGAUUUAUAUCUGAGAUAGUUAUAUAUAAGGCGGAUCGUCCCUUGUAUAUGCCUAUUUAAGAGCAAUAACCGUACCUAAAAACUAACACAAGUAAGCA